rnacentral:rRNA from 1 species
UACGGGGGGGGCAAGCGUUGUUCGGAAUUACUGGGCGUAAAGGGCUUGUAGGUGGCCAACUAAGUCAGACGUGAAAUCCCUAGGCUCAACCUAGGAACUGCGUCUGAUACUGGAUGGCUUGAAUCCGGGAGAGGGAUGCAGAAUUCCAGGUGUAGCGGUGAAAUGCGUAGAUAUCUGGAGGAAUACCGGUGGCGAAGGCGGCAUCCUGGACCGGCAUUGACGCUGAGGAGCGAAAGCUAGGGGAGCAAACGGG